rnacentral:rRNA from 1 species
UACGAAGGGGGCUAGCGUUGCUCGGAAUCACUGGGCGUAAAGCGCACGUAGGCGGAUCUUUAAGUCAGGGGUGAAAUCCUGGAGCUCAACUCCAGAACUGCCUUUGAUACUGGGGAUCUCGAGUCCGGGAGAGGUGAGUGGAACUCCGAGUGUAGAGGUGAAAUUCGUAGAUAUUCGGAAGAACACCAGUGGCGAAGGCGGCUCACUGGCCCGGUACUGACGCUGAGGAGCGAAAGCCAGGGGAGCAAACGGG